UGUGCAGGUGUCCGCUCUGGAUCAGGAGCUGAUUGAAGUUGAUCCCGACACAAAGGAGAUGCUGAAGCUGCUGGACUUCGGCGGUCUGUCCAACCUGCAGGUGACGCAGCCGACCAUCGGCAUGAACUUCAAGACGCCGCGAGGAGUCUGACCUCUGUAAAGUAUCUUAAUAAUAAACUUUGGGACAAAAA